rnacentral:rRNA from 2 species
UACGUAGGCAGCAAGCGUUGUUCGGAGUUACUGGGCGUAAAGGGUGUGUAGGCGGCCUUCUAAGUUUGGUGUGAAAUCUCCCGGCUCAACCGGGAGGGUGCGCCGAAGACUGGGGGGCUAGAGUAUGGGAUGGGAGAGUAGAAUUCCCGGUGUAGCGGUGAAAUGCGUAGAUAUCGGGAGGAAUACCUGUGGUGUAGACGGCUCUCUGGACCAUAACUGACGCUGAGACACGAAAGCGUGGGUAGCAAACAGG